UUUCGCAAUGCCCGAAAGGGUGACGAAGCGACGCCGCGUGGGUGAGGAAGGCCUUAGGGUUGUAAAGCCCUGUCAGGAGUUAAGAAAUGUAGAUACGCUAAUAUCGUGUCUAUUUGACAAAGGCUCCAAAGGAAGCCACGGCUAACUCUGUGCCAGCAGCCGCGGUAAUACAGAGGUGGCAAGCGUUGUUCGGAAUUAUUGGGCGUAAAGAGCACGUAGGUGGAUUUGUAAGUCAGAUGUGAAAGCCUUCUGUUCAACGGGAGAAUUGCAUCUGAAACUACAAACCUUGAGUGUAGGAGGGGAGAAUGGAACUUCUGGUGGAGCGGUGAAAUGCGUAGAUAUCAGAAGGAACGCCGGCGGCGAAAGCGAUUCUCUGGCCUAUUACUGACACUCAGUGUGCGAAAGCUAGGGGAGCAAACGGGAUUAGAUACCCCGGUAGUCCUAGCCGUAAACGAUGGGCACUAAGUAGAGGGGUUUU
rnacentral:rRNA from 1 species